GAAAUAAAUAAAAAUGAACUUCUAAUUCAUUAAAAAUAGAUUAAUCUAUUUUAUUUCU
rnacentral:tRNA from 1 species